rfam:Marinobacter nanhaiticus D15-8W genomic scaffold super1, whole genome shotgun sequence.
UGACUGAGUAGAAGCAGUCAGGUCCGGUCUCUGCCUGUUGGCGAACCCGGAUCGGGUCAUUGCUCAUCGC